rnacentral:rRNA from 1 species
UACGAAGGGUGCAAACGUUGCUCGGAAUUAUUGGGCGUAAAGCGCACGUAGGCGGCUUUGCAAGUCGGAUGUGAAAUCCCUCGGCUUAACCAAGGAAGUGCAUCCGAAACUGCAGAGCUUGAGUACUUAAGAGGAUCGCGGAAUUCCCGGUGUAGAGGUGAAAUGCGUAGAGAUCGGGAGGAACACCAGAGGCGAAAGCGGCGACCUGGACAGGCACUGACACUCAACUACGAAAGCGUGGGGAGCAAACAGG